rnacentral:rRNA from 1 species
UACGUAGGGGGCAAGCGUUGUCCGGAUUUAUUGGGCGUAAAGAGCGUGUAGGCGGUCCCGCAAGUCCGCUGUGAAAGCCCCGAGCUUGAACUUGGGAACCUGCAGUGGAAACUAUGGGACUUGAAUCCGGGCAGAGGGGGGUGGAAUGCCACGUGUAGCAGUGAAAUGCGUAGAGAUGUGGCGGAACACCGAUGGCGAAGGCAGCCCCCUGGGCUGAGAUUGACGCUCAGGCACGAAAGCGUGGGGAGCAAACAGG